rnacentral:tRNA from 1 species
AACCAAGAAGCUAAUGCAGCACCAACCCUUUAGUGGAAACAGGAACAGCCUCUUCGA